rnacentral:sRNA from 1 species
CAGAAGGAAGCCAUGACCAAUACCAACAGAUUUGACCCCUCUGGACAUUGUAGGAAGACAGUACAGAAAUUAAUGAACAAUGCCCAUAAAAGGAAAUGAAAUCAAGAAGUGAACUAUUCAAGGACAUGCAAUACUCAAUGAUUCUUACAACUGUCCAUUUUUAUACUUUUAAGAAAUAUUUUUUAUAUAUAUUUUUUGUAUACUUUUCCAAGUCAUGACAUGUUAGCUGUUUGUUUUGUUUUGUUUUUAUUUUUUGUGCCUUACUAUUGUAACAUUUUGUGUUAGCCAUUGUGAUAGAUGAUGUGACAUGCAUGAUGUGAUCGUAUGACAAGUUUGUGAAGAUGUUUUGACACUUGAUUGUACAUAACAACAACCAAAACAUCGAACGUUGAAUUUUU